rnacentral:rRNA from 1 species
GACGAACGCUGGCGGCGUGCUUAACACAUGCAAGUCGAACGGAAAGGCCCUGCUUGCAGGGUGCUCGAGUGGCGAACGGGUGAGUAACACGUGGGUGAUCUGCCCCUUACCUUGGGAUAAGCCUGGGAAACUGGGUCUAAUACUGGAUAGGACCAUGCUGUAGGUGGUGUGGUGGAAAGAUUAGUUUCGGUAAGGGAUGAGCUCGCGGCCUAUCAGCUUGUUGGUGGGGUAAUGGCCUACCAAGGCGUCGACGGGUAGCCGGCCUGAGAGGGUGGACGGCCACAUUGGGACUGAGAUACGGCCCUGACUCCUACGGGAGGCAGCAGUGGGGAAUAUUGCACAAUGGGCGCAAGCCUGAUGCAGCGACGCCGCGUGGGGGAUGACGGCCUUCGGGUUGUAAACUCCUUUCAGCCAUGACGAAGCCCUUGUGGUGACGGUAGUGGUAGAAGAAGCACCGGCUAACUACGUG